AAGAAAAAAAAAAAGGAAAACCUAUCCUCCUGCGCGGCCGCCGGCGCCGCUCCGCUCGCGCGCGGCUGCGCCCGCCCCUCACGCGUCGCCGGGUCGCUGCCUCCCGCCGCCGCCUCUCGUGCGAGCCCGCCGCCCCAACUCCGCUCGCCGGGCUGCGCUCCCGAUUCCCCUAGCCCGCUACCUCCCGCCGGAGCCGUCAUCGAGCGGGCCACAUCGCCGCCGCCGCCUCCUACCCCCACGCCGUCCAGUCCCCCACCCCUACCGCCUUCGUCGAACCGCCGCGGACUCCGGUUCCCGAUCCAACCGCCGACGCCGUUCUUCUCAUCUACUAGCGCUGGGAGGUCAUCCGCCGUCGCCGUCACUUCGCGCAGGGCGCCCAGCUCCUCGCCCGUGCGCGCGCCGCCGCCGCUUCCACUGGCGCGGGGACCAAGAAGCCCCCCGGCCCACUCGCCCGCGCGGCGCUCGCCGAGGCCGACCGUGCCAUCGCUUCUCCUCCUCCCCACACCGCCCUCACCUGCGCCAUCUCCACGGCCCUCCCAGCUCCACCCCCCCGCCCUGCCCUCCACAUGCCCGCCGCUUCCGCGCCGCGCCGUCGAUCUCCGGUGACGUCGUGCCCCAAGCCAUUGGUUAUCCCUUCUCAUGCUGAUCUGAUUUUUCUGCUUUGCCGUCUUUCCUUCAACACUGCUGAACAAAUGGCUUCGAUCUGUGUGAGGGUCUUCACGCUAUCGUCCACCUUCUCUACCCCGCCGGUACAGGAAGACGACGCCGGAGCACGGGGCAACGUCGAGGAAGAUGACUGACAGUACAUUGCUUUGUGCCAUGCUCCUCUACUGCACCGUGCGACUGUUUUUUUUCAGGCUGGGAUGUGGGAUCGAGCACACCGUGAUGAUUGGGAACAUUUCCAAGGACAGAUUGAUGGAGUAAGCGUUUUUUUGAUGCUUCAAGGAUUCAUUUUGUUGCCUUCAAUUGUAACAGGAGAAAUGCCAAUAAGUGAAGGCAUUAGAUUCAAUCCCAAAGUUUGUCCUUUUGCUUCUAAAGCAGUAGUGCCAGACCAUUCAGUAAAAUUCAUCUGAAUUCAAAGUGUUCCAACUGUGGCGUCUUGCUUCUGAACAGAUCCCCAACUUGCACUUGAUGCGAUGGUUCCGUUUUGCUGCUAAAAUUCAGGUGAUGCAAAUGUAGUAAAAGAAUGUAAUCGCAUUAACUGAUUUGAUCAAAGCACAAAACAGAAGUGCAAUUGAUCACCAUCUGCAGUACAGGACAGCUUUAUUCGUUGUAAGGUGCUAUGACUGGACAUCAAAAGAUGCUUGCAACCUAAUCAGACAAUCCAUUUAAACCUAACUGAAGAAUAUAACAAAUCAGGCUUCCUGCUUUGCUUGAUUUCCAAAUUCAUGUAGGCAGAAACAGUAUGGAUAUCACCGAUCAUCAGCACGUAAGUUUGGACAGUGCAACAAAACUUGUCUGUAUUUCCUCGAUCUGAAUGCGUGGAAGGAAAGGAAAUUUUCAACUUGGAGAUCUAUCUGCUACUGAUGAAUUCCCGCUUCUCAGUUUACAUGGAGAUGAGUUAAUCUGGGUAGUCAGUGGAAGACCAUAAAAAGAAUGUUGUUGUAUUCAUGAUGCCACGUACCACCAAUCAUAUACCGCUGGAAUAUUUACUUCGACUUCCAAAUUAAUUAUCAUGUAACACUCUUAAACUAUAUGAAAUAUUCCCUUCCAAUUAGAUUAAUCAUUUUUCAAAGAAA